CCUACGGGGGGCAGCAGUGAGGAAUAUUGGUCAAUGGGCUUACGCCUGAACCAGCCAAGUCGCGUGAGGGAAGACUGCCCUAUGGGUUGUAAACCUCUUUUGUCAGGGAGCAACGCCGGCUACGUGUAGCCGGACUGAGAGUACCUGAAGAAAAAGCAUCGGCUAACUCCGUGCCAGCAGCCGCGGUAAUACGGAGGAUGCGAGCGUUAUCCGGAUUUAUUGGGUUUAAAGGGUGCGUAGGCGGAAUGCCAAGUCAGCGGUAAAAUCGCGGGGCUCAACCUCGCUCCGCCGUUGAAACUGGCGGUCUUGAGGGGGCGAGAAGUAUGCGGAAUGCGUGGUGUAGCGGUGAAAUGCAUAGAUAUCACGCAGAACACCGAUUGCGAAGGCAGCAUACCGGCGCCCAACUGACGCUGAAGCACGAAAGCGUGGGUAUCGAACAGGAUUAGAUACCCCGGUAGUC
rnacentral:rRNA from 1 species